AUAUACUUUUUUUGGUUCUUCACUCCCACUAAUUUGCCAUUCUCUAAGAUUAUGGCAUUACUGGUUUCAACUAUUCAUGUAUCAUGGUUAGGAUAAUAAAAUAUAUACCCUUUGGACAUAUAUGGAUAACUAAUAAAAUAUCCUAAUAUUGUCCUUGAAUAUAGCUUUUUGUCAAGUGGUUUAAAGAUUCUUGCCUCUGCUGGAUAAUCCCAUAUAUGUAAAUGUCUUAAA
rnacentral:lncRNA from 1 species